rnacentral:rRNA from 1 species
CAGCCGCCGCGGUAAAACGUAGGUGGCAAGCGUUGUCCGGAAUUAUUGGGCGUAAGGGGCUCGCAGGCGGUUUCUUAAGUCUGAUGUGAAAGCCCCCGGCUCAACCGGGGAGGGUCAUUGGAAACUGGGAAACUUGAGUGCAGAAGAGGAGAGUGGAAUUCCACGUGUAGCGGUGAAAUGCGUAGAGAUGUGGAGGAACACCAGUGGCGAAGGCGACUCUCUGGUCUGUAACUGACGCUGAGGAGCGAAAGCGUGGGGAGCGAACAGGAUUAGAUACCCCCGUAGUCCCUGUCUCUUAUAA